UAUAUUCCUCGUUAGGUGAGGCUCCUGUGCAGGAGAUACGCUGCUACCCAAAAAUGUCCAAAGACGCCAAUGGGUCAACAGAAACCAUCGACAUAAGGUGGUUUUUAAUGUAGCUGGCAAUAGCCUAUGCCGCACAGUGCUAAAGCUCUACGAAUGGAGGCUAUUU
rnacentral:sRNA from 2 species